CGCUGGCGGACGUGCCUAACACAUGCAAGUCGAGCGGGGACAUACGACGGAACCAAAGUUUUCGGAUGGAGGUGAAGAUGUAUGUUCUAGCGGCGGACGGUGAGUAACGCGUGAGCAACCUGUCCCUUACAGGGGGAUAACACAGCGAAAGUUGUACUAAUACCGCAUGAGACCACGGGGAGACAUCUUUCUGAGGUCAAAGGAGCAAUCCGGUAAGGGGUGGGCUCGCGUCCGAUUAGAUAGUUGGUGAGGUAACGGCCCACCAAGUCGACGAUCGGUAGCCGACCUGAGAGGGUGAUCGGCCACAUUGGGACUGAGACACGGCCCAAACUCCUACGGGAGGCAGCAGUGGGGAAUAUUGGGCAAUGGGGGGAACCCUGACCCAGCAACGCCGCGUGAGGGAAGAAGGUUUUCGGAUCGUAAACCUCUGUCCUUGGUGAAGAGGAAGAGACGGUAGCCAAGGAGGAAGCCCCGGCUAACUACGUGCCAGCAGCUGC
rnacentral:rRNA from 1 species